AAAAGGCAAUGUUCUUGUCUCUUUGCAGUUUGAAGAACAGUUUGACAUGAUCAGUGCAGCACAGUGAGACAGAGUUGGAUGUGGAGAUGAACAGGACUGUGCUCUGUGUGUUGGUCUUAUCCUAUGCUGCAGUUGUCGCUUCCUGGUAUGAAGUUGAAGUCUUUGUCUGAAGCAGAGUGACACGUUGUCAUUCACUGUUUCUCUUCAUAGACUGCAGUUCCAAGUUUCUCUUGAUACAAACAGGAAGUAUUUCUCAGGUACAACAACAGAGUGUCAGUGCUGGAUGUGAGGAUGGGACA